CCUACGGGGGGCAGCAGUGGGGAAUAUUGGACAAUGGGGGGAACCCUGAUCCAGCGACGCCGCGUGAGUGAAGAAGUAUUUCGGUAUGUAAAGCUCUAUCAGCAGGGAAGAAAAUGACGGUACCUGACUACGAAGCCCCGGCUAACUACGUGCCAGCAGCCGCGGUAAUACGUAGGGGGCAAGCGUUAUCCGGAUUUACUGGGUGUAAAGGGAGCGUAGACGGUAUGGCAAGUCUGAGGUGAAAACCCGGGGCUCAACCCCGGGACUGCAUUGGAAACUGCCGAACUAGAGCGUCGGAGAGGCAAGUGGAAUUCCUAGUGUAGCGGUGAAAUGCGUAGAUAUUAGGAGGAACACCAGUGGCGAAGGCGGCUUGCUGGACGAUGACUGACGUUGAGGCUCGAAAGCGUGGGGAGCAAACAGGAUUAGAUACCUUGUAGUC
rnacentral:rRNA from 1 species